AAAAAUUUUGAAGUAAAAUGAAAUGAAAAAAAUGAAAAAUAAAGUUAGAUUUUUCUCUUUUUUUGACAGCUUUCAAUCCUUUGUAAAAGAGCAGAUGCACAAAAUUUCAAAGAUGUGCACAUACGUAGGCUAAUGCGAGGAAGUGUCAUUGCUGAAAGUAUUGCAGUAUAUAACUAUCCCAACAACAACUCGCAAAUAAUGUUUCUAAAUAACGAUUUGGGACCCACCCUGGAAAAAAUCUUUAACGACUCAGAUUCGUUUAAAAAUCUCAGUAUAGAUCUCGGUAAUGUUUCCAUCCAAGAUGCCCAAAUUACCAUGGAGCCAGUUAAAAUAUCAAAAAUUUUAGAUCUGCAGCCAUUUGUGCAAUGCACAUUGAAUUUUGCAAACUUAACAGAGGAGAUUGAAGAUGGAGCAUGGGUAUGUGUGGGAUCAUGCAAAAAAAAUCCCAACUUUUGCAAUCAAAGAGGUAGAUGCCUAAAUGAAAUAAAUGGACCACAGUGCAUGUGUUACAGUUCUCCCUUUGAGGAGUACUAUGGCGCUCAGUGUGAGCUUUACAGGAGAGGGACCGGUUUCUACGCUGUUCUCUUCGGCUGUUUUGCAGCUUUUGCUCUACUUAUCAUCGUCUUGGCUGUGAUGAUUGUGGUGCUCUACAGAGCCAAGAGGUCUGUAUAAACUGUUUCUGUGACUUAUUCAUAGACCAAAACAUCAAAACAAACAAAUAACACAGUGAUCUAAUUUCAGAACAUCAAGCAAAAGGAGGUUAUCACUUUUUGACGAGGACUUCUAUGAUUUUACAUCAAGAGGUAUGAUGUCUAGCUUAAGUAAAUGCUUAAGUAAAUAUACUUCAGCAGCAGUAUAAGAUGAAAA
ensembl:lncRNA